GACGAACGCUGGCGGCGUGCUUAACACAUGCAAGUCGAACGGAAAGGCCCUGCUUUUGUGGGGUGCUCGAGUGGCGAACGGGUGAGUAACACGUGAGUAACCUGCCCUUGACCUUGGGAUAACCUCAGGAAACUGGGGCUAAUACCGGAUAGGAGCUCUUGCUGCAUGGUGGGGGUUGGAAAGUUUCGGCGGUUGGGGAUGGACUCGCGGCUUAUCAGCUUGUUGGUGGGGUAGUGGCUUACCAAGGCUUGGACGGGUAGCCGGCCUGAUCGGGUGACCGGCCACAUUGGGACUGAGAUACGGCCCAGACUCCUACGGGAGGCAGCAGUGGGGAAUAUUGCACAAUGGGCGGAAGCCUGAUGCAGCAACGCCGCGUGCGGGAUGACGGCCUUCGGGUUGUAAACCGCUUUCGCCUGUGACGAAGCGUGAGUGACGGUAAUGGGUAAAGAAGCACCGGCUAACUACGUG
rnacentral:rRNA from 1 species